UAGGGAAUCUUCCACAAUGGACGCAAGUCUGAUGGAGCAACGCCGCGUGAGUGAAGAAGGUUUUCGGAUCGUAAAGCUCUGUUGUUGGUGAAGAAGGAUAGAGGCAGUAACUGGUCUUUAUUUGACGGUAAUCAACCAGAAAGUCACGGCUAACUACGUGCCAGCAGCCGCGGUAAUACGUAGGUGGCAAGCGUUGUCCGGAUUUAUUGGGCGUAAAGCGAGCGCAGGCGGAAUGAUAAGUCNGAUGUGAAAGCCCACGGCUCACCGUGGAACUGCA
rnacentral:rRNA from 1 species